UUAGAGUUUGGAUCCUGGCUCAGAUUGAACGCUGGCGGCAGGCCUAACACAUGCAAGUCGAACGGUAACAGGAAACAGCUUGCUGUUUCGCUGACGAGUGGCGGACGGGUGAGUAAUGUCUGGGAAACUGCCUGAUGGAGGGGGAUAACUACUGGAAACGGUAGCUAAUACCGCAUAACGUCGCAAGACCAAAGAGGGGGACCUUCGGGCCUCUUGCCAUCGGAUGUGCCCAGAUGGGAUUAGCUAGUAGGUGGGGUAACGGCUCACCUAGGCGACGAUCCCUAGCUGGUCUGAGAGGAUGACCAGCCACACUGGAACUGAGACACGGUCCAGACUCCUACGGGAGGCAGCAGUGGGGAAUAUUGCACAAUGGGCGCAAGCCUGAUGCAGCCAUGCCGCGUGUAUGAAGAAGGCCUUCGGGUUGUAAAGUACUUUCAGCGGGGAGGAAGGGAGUAAAGUUAAUACCUUUGCUCAUUGACGUUACCCGCAGAAGAA
rnacentral:rRNA from 1 species